AUGCAGUAUUUGCCAAGGUUGUUAUCUCACAUUGUUGCUAUCUUGAGAGGUGUCCGGUCCCAGGUGCAGCUGGUGGAGUCCGGAGGGGAUGUGAAAAAGCCCGGAGACUCUCUCCGCCUCUCCUGCAAAGCCUCCGGGUUCACCUUCAGCAGCCACUGGAUGGACUGGGUCCGCCAGGCUCCCGGGAAGGGGCUUGAGUGGGUCUCGGGAAUUAGCGGAGGGGGCAGCACGUAUUACCCCGCUUCAGUCCGGGGUCGCUUCACCAUCUCCAGAGACACCUCCAGCAACCGGCUGUACUUGCUAAUGACCGGCCUGACACCCGAGGACACCGCCGUGUACUACUGCGCCAGAGAGCCACACAGCAGCUGA